GGUCCAGUAACUCAGCGGUAGAGUAUCUGACUUUUAAUCAGAGAGUCGAUGGUUCGAUCCCAUCCUGGAUCACCA
rnacentral:tRNA from 1 species